rnacentral:rRNA from 1 species
AUUGAACGCUGGCGGCAUGCCUUACACAUGCAAGUCGAACGGCAGCACGGGUGCUUGCUCCUGGUGGCGAGUGGCGAACGGGUGAGUAAUACAUCGGAACAUGUCCUGUAGUGGGGGAUAGCCCGGCGAAAGCCGGAUUAAUACCGCAUACGAUCCACGGAUGAAAGCGGGGGACCUUCGGGCCUCGCGCUAUAGGGUUGGCCGAUGGCUGAUUAGCUAGUUGGUGGGGUAAAGGCCUACCAAGGUGACGAUCAGUAGCUGGUCUGAGAGGACGACCAGCCACACUGGGACUGAGACACGGCCCAGACUCCUACGGGAGGCAGCAGUGGGGAAUUUUGGACAAUGGGCGAAAGCCUGAUCCAGCAAUGCCGCGUGUGUGAAGAAGGCCUUCGGGUUGUAAAGCACUUUUGUCCGGAAAGAAAUCCUUGACUCUAAUACAGUCGGGGGAUGACGGUACCGGAAGAAUAAGCACCGGCUAACUACGUG